rnacentral:rRNA from 1 species
CUCCGGUUGAUCCUGCCGGACCCGACUGCUAUCAGAGUGAGAUUAAGCCAUGCGAGUUAACGUAGCAAUACGUGGCGCACGGCUCAGUAACACGUAGUCAACAUGCCCAGAGGACGUGGAUAACCUCGGGAAACUGAGUCUAAACCGCGAUAAGUGAGGAUUUCUGGAAUGGUUCCUGACUAAAAUCUAUAUGGCCUCUGGAUUGGACUGCGGCCGAUCAGGCUGUUGGUGAGGUAAUGGCCCACCAAACCUGUAACCGGUACGGGCUCUGAGAGGAGGAGCCCGGAGAUGGGCACUGAGACAAGGGCCCAGGCCCUAUGGGGCGCAGCAGGCGCGAAACCUCUGCAAUAGGCGAAAGCCUGACAGGGUUACUCUGAGUGACUUUCGCUAAGAAAGUCUUUUGGCACCUCUAAAAAGGGUGCAGAAUAAGGGGUGGGCAAGUCUGGUGUCCGCCGCCGCGGUAAUACCAGCACCCCGAGUGGUCGGGACGAUUAUUGGGCCUAAAGCAUCCGUAGCCGGUCCUGCAAGUCUUCCGUUAAAUCCAGCUGCUCAACAGAUGGGCUGCGGGAGAUACUACAGGGCUAGGAGGCGGGAGAGGCAAGCGGUACUUUAUGGGUAGGGGUAAAAUCCGCUGAUCCAUAGAAGACCACCAGUGGCGAAGGCGGCUUGCCAGAACGCGCUCGACGGUGAGGGAUGAAAGCUGGGGGAGCAAACCGGAUUAGAUACCCGGGUAGUCCCAGCUGUAAACGAUGCAGACUCGGUGAUGGGUUGGCCUCGCGCCUGCCCAGUGCCGCAGGGAAGCCGUUAAGUCUGCCGCCUGGGGAGUACGGUCGCAAGACUGAAACUUAAAGGAUUGGCGGGGAGCA